AUGCAGGCCAAAAUCUCAGCCAGCAGGCUAAAGAAUGAAAAGGUGUCUGUCCUCCAAUCCUACUGCAGAGGUGCAUGGGUCUAUUUGUCCAGGGUGAUAGCAGGAGAGCUGGCUGACAAAAAGGACCAUGAUGCAUCACCUUCCAAAGAGGAAAGGAAGCGAUCACGGACUCCUGACGGAGAGUGGGAUAGAGACCGGGACCGGAAGUCUUCCCCAUCUAAAGAUAGGAAACAGCAUCGUUCAAGGGAUAGACAUCAAGGAGGCAGCUAUUCUCACUCUCAUUCCCGUUCCAAAUCUGCAGAAAGAGAACGAUGGCACAAAGAAUGAGAACGAGAUAAGGAGCGAGAAUAUAAUAAGAAGGACCAAGAUCGAGACAAGGAUGGGCACAGAUGGGACAAGGACCAGAAAUGAUUCAGUUUAUCUCCUGGCCGAGGAAAAGACUUUAAAUUUCGGAAGGACAGAGACUCUAAGAAGGAUGAAGAGGAUGAACAUGGUGAUAAGAAGCCUAAGGCCCAGCCAUUAUCCCUGGAGGAACUUCUGGCCAAGAAAAAGGCUGAAGAAGAAGCUGAGGCUAAGCCCACGUUCCUCUCCAAAGCAGAACGAGAGGCUGAAGCUCUAAAGUGACGGCAGCAGGCAGUGGAAGAGCAGCAGAGGAUGUUUGAAGAAGAGAGAAAGAAAAGAAAACAAUUCCAAGACUUGGGCAGGAAGAUGUUGGAAGAUCCUCAGGAAUGGGAAUGUCAGGAAUGCAGGGGGAAGAUGGAGCGAGAGACCAGUGGAAAUGAGGAUGAGCAAGGGCGGCAGAAGAUCUGGGAAGAGAAGGAUAAGAGCAAGGGACUGCAUGCCAUUAAAGAGCAUUACUUGGGGUGGCAUCAAAAAGCAGCACCGAACGAGACAUUUCAAUGACCGAAAGUUUGUUUUUGAAUGGGAUGCAUCUGAGGACAUAUCCAUUGACUACAACCCCCUGUACAAAGAACGGCGCCGGGUGCAGUUGUUAGGGCGAGGCUUCAUUGCAGACACUGACCUCAAGCAGCAGAAAUGAGAGCAGUCACAUUUCUAUGGAGACCUAAUGGAGAAGAGGCGAACCCUGGAAGAAAAGGAGCAGGAGGAGGCAAGACUCUGCAAACUUCGUAAGAAGGAAGCCAAGCAGCUCUGGGAUGAUCGUCAUUGGUCUCAGAAAAAGUUAGAUGAGAUGACGGACAGGGACUGGCGGAUCUUCUGUGAGGACUACAGCAUAACCACCAAAGGUGGCAAGAUCCCCAAUCCCAUCCCAUCCUGGAAAGACUCUUCUCUGCCCCCACACAUCUUGGAGGUCUUUGAUAAGUGUGGCUACAAGGAACCAACACCUAUCCAGCGUCAGGCAAUUCCCACUGGGCUACAGAAUCGUGACAUCAUUGGUGUGGCUGAGACUGGCAGUGGCAAACAGCAGCCUUCCCCAUCCCACUGCUGGUCUGGAUCACCACACUUCUCAAAAAUGACAGGAUCGAAGAGUCAGACCAAGGCCCUUAUGCCAUCAUCCUGGCUCCCACCCGUGAGUUGGCUCAACAGAUUGAGGAAGAGACUGUCAAAUUUGGAAAGCCCCUAGAUAUCCGCACUGUGGCUGUCACUGGUGGUAUCUUCAGAGAAGACCAGGGCUUCAGGCUGCGCAUGGGUUGUGAGAUUGUGAUCGCUACCCCUGGGCAUUUGAUUGAUGUUCUGGAGAACUGCUCCCUGGUGCUGAGCCGCUGUACCUAUGUGAUUCUGGAUGAGGCAGAUAGGAUGAUUGACAUGGGCUUUGAGCCAGAUGUCCAGAAGAUCCUGGAGCACAUGCCUGUCAGCAACCAGAAGCCAGACACAGAUGAGGCUGACAACCCUGAGAAGAUGCUGGCCAACUUUGAGUCGGGAAAACGUAAGUACCACCAAACAGUCGUGUUCACAGCUACCGUGCUCCCAGCGGUGGAGCGUCUGGACAGGAGCUAUCUUCGGCGACUUGCUGUGGUGUACAUUGGCUCCUCAGGCAAGCCCCAUGAGUGUGUGGAACAGAAGGUCUUCCUCAUGUCAGAGUCAGAAAAGAAGAAAAAGCUGCUGGCAAUCUUGGAGCAAGGCUUUGAUCCACCCAUCAUUAUUUUCGUCAGCCAGAAGGACUGCGACGCGUUGGCCAAAUCCCUGGAGAAGAUGGGGUACAAUGCUUGCACACUGCACAGUGGAAAAGGCCAGGAGCAGCUAGAGUUUGCAUUGUCCAACCUCAAGGCUGGGUCCAAGGAUAUUUUGGUGGCUACAGAUGUGGCUGGUCAUGGUAUUGACAUCCAAGAUGUGUCUAUAAUUGUCAACUAUGAUAUGGCCAAAAAUAUUGAAGAUUACAUCCACCUCAUUGGCUGCACAGGACAAGCAGGCAAGAGUGGGGUGGCCAUCACCUUCCUCACAAAAGAGGACUCUGCUGUGUUCUACGAGCUGAAGCAAGCCAUCCUGGAAAGCCCAGUGUCUUCCUGUCUCCCCAAGCUAGCCAGUCACCCAGAUGCCCAGCAUAAGCCAGGCACCAUCCUCACCAAGAAGCACCAGGAAGAGACCAUCUUUGCCUGA